rnacentral:rRNA from 1 species
GACGAACGCUGGCGGCGUGCUUAACACAUGCAAGUCGAACGGAAAGGCCCUGCUUUUGUGGGGUGCUCGAGUGGCGAACGGGUGAGUAACACGUGAGUAACCUGCCCUUGACUUUGGGAUAACUUCAGGAAACUGGGGCUAAUACCGGAUAGGAGCUCCUGCUGCAUGGUGGGGGUUGGAAAGUUUCGGCGGUUGGGGAUGGACUCGCGGCUUAUCAGCUUGUUGGUGGGGUAGUGGCUUACCAAGGCUUUGACGGGUAGCCGGCCUGAGAGGGUGACCGGCCACAUUGGGACUGAGAUACGGCCCAGACUCCAACGGGAGGCAACAGUGGGAAAUAUUGCGCAAUGGGCGGAAGCCUGAUGCAGCAACGCCGCGUGCGGGAUGACGGCCUUCGGGUUGUAAACCGCUUUCGCCUGUGACGAAGCGUGAGUGACGGUAAUGGGUAAAGAAGCACCGGCUAACUACGUG